GUAGGAAUAAUGGCCACCAACAGCAGUCUUCUGGAGGACGAUGUUGUCCUUGAGAGUCUUGGUCCACUGGAUGAAGCUCUUCACUGUGGGAUCACUCACAUAUGGCUGACCUUUGUGGUAGCCUAUUGUGGACACAGCUGCUCGUGAGGUACGGCACUGAGCCCUCCACUUGACAAACCCUCAUCUGAGUGCAAACCAGGAGAGGGAGAGGUUUCCAUGUGUUUCUAAAGGAUGACUCCAGACUGCAGAGAAGAGAAAUCUUGGACACUGAUGAAAGGAAGACAAUGCAGACAACACAUCAUCAGGAUUAUCACUGCAAUUUGGUAACUAAAGCCAAUUCAUUUCUGUCAUGGAAAAUACAUAUUUGCAAAUGAGAGCUAUUAACUGGAAUGGACAGAGAGAUCAUUUUAGUAAAUAUGGUUUCCUACCAUGUACAGUUUAGACUUUAAAUUAUGCAACUACUUUAUGACGUAAG